CAAUUUUCGUCGACCUCGGAUACGGAGUCAGUUUGGAUUUUCGCUUAGGCAUUCAGAGGUCUUGUUAAGUCAAAAUGGAAGGCCUUGGCUCACCUAGGAUAGCCAUUGGAACUGACAAGCGAGUAACCGUGAGGGGGGGUGGAAAUUUCCAGGGUAGCGGUCAAUCGGUGAGAAUUGAGAUUCGGUAGGGAAGGCGGCCCCCUGGACAGAUAUCUACAUUCAGAUGCGAAGCGUUGGGAGCUAACAUGAUUAGAUACCUGUAGUCACGCAGUUAACGAUGUCUACUUGAAGGCUUGUGACCUAGAAGUCGUGGCUUUCGUAGCUAACGCAGUUAAGUAGACCCCAUGGGGAGUACGGUCGCAAGAUUAAAACUCAAAUGAAUUGACGGGGGCCCGCACAAGCGGUGGAGCAUGUGGUUUAAUUCGAUGCAACGCGAAGAACCUUACCUACUCUUGACAUCCAGAGAAUCUAGCGGAGACGCAGGAGUGCGUUCGGGAGCUCUGAGACAGGUGCUGCAUGGCUGUCGUCAGCUCGUGUUGUGAAAUGUUGGGUUAAGUCCCGCAACGAGCGCAACCCUUAUCCUUGUUUGCCAGCACGUAAUGGUGGGAACUCCAGGGAGACUGCCGGUGAUAAACCGGAGGAAGGUGGGGACGACGUCAAGUCAUCAUGGCCCUUACGAGUAGGGCUACACACGUGCUACAAUGGCGUAUACAGAGGGCAGCGAUACCGCGAGGUGGAGCGAAUCUCACAAAGUACGUCGUAGUCCGGAUUGGAGUCUGCAACUCGACUCCAUGAAGUCGGAAUCGCUAGUAAUCGCAAAUCAGAAUGUUGCGGUGAAUACGUUCCCGGGCCUUGUACACACCGCCCGUCACACCAUGGGAGUGGGCUGCAAAAGAAGCAGGUAGUUUAACCUUCGGGAGGACGCUGCCUCUUUUUGUUUC
rnacentral:rRNA from 1 species